AUUGAACGCUGGCGGAAUGCUUUACACAUGCAAGUCGAGCGGCAGCGCGGGGCAACCUGGCGGCGAGCGGCGAACGGGUGAGUAAUGCAUCGGAACAUGUCCAUGUCGUGGGGGAUAGCCCGGCGAAAGCCGGAUUAAUACCGCAUACGCUCGAGAGAGGAAAGCCGGGGACCGCAAGGCCUGGCGCGAUUGGGUUGGCCGAUGUCCGAUUAGCUAGUUGGUGAGGUAAAGGCUUACCAAGGCGAUGAUCGGUAGCUGGUCUGAGAGGAUGAUCAGCCACACUGGGACUGAGACACGGCCCAGACUCCUACGGGAGGCAGCAGUGGGGAAUUUUGGACAAUGGGGGCAACCCUGAUCCAGCCAUUCCGCGUGAGUGAAGAAGGCCUUCGGGUUGUAAAGCUCUUUUGUCCGGAGCGAAACGGGUGCGGCUAAUACCUGCGCCUACUGACGGUACCGGAAGAAUAAGCACCGGCUAACUACGUGCCAGCAGCCGCGGUAAUACGUAGGGUGCGAGCGUUAAUCGGAAUUACUGGGCGUAAAGCGUGCGCAGGCGGUUUUGUAAGCCAGUCGUGAAAUCCCCGGGCUUAACCUGGGAAUGGCGAUUGGGACUGCAAGGCUGGAGUAUGGCAGAGG
rnacentral:rRNA from 1 species